rnacentral:rRNA from 1 species
UACGUCGGGGGCUAGCGUUGUCCGGAAUCAUUGGGCGUAAAGCGCGUGUAGGCGGCCCGGUAAGUCCGCUGUGAAAGUCGGGGGCUCAACCCUCGGAUGCCGGUGGAUACUGUCGGGCUCGAGUACGGAAGAGGCGAGUGGAAUUCCUGGUGUAGCGGUGAAAUGCGCAGAUAUCAGGAGGAACACCAAUUGCGAAGGCAGCUCGCUGGGACGUUACUGACGCUGAGACGCGAAAGCGUGGGGAGCAAACAGG